GUAGGUGGCAAGCGUUGUCCGGAAUUAUUGGGGCGUAAAGCGCGCGCAGGCGGUUCGUUUAAGUCUGGAUGUGAAGGCCCACGGGCUCAACCGUGGGAGGGUCAUUGGAAACUGGAGAACUUGAGUACAGAAGAGGAGAGCGGAAUUCCACGUGUAGCGGUGAAAUGCGUAGAGAUGUGGAGGAACACCAGUGGCGAAGGCGGCUUUCUGGUCUGUAACUGACGCUGAGGCGCGAAAGCGUGGGGAGCAAACAGGAUUAGAUACCCUGGUAGUCCACGCCGUAAACGAUGAGUGCUAAGUGUUAGGGGGUUUCCGCCCCUUAGUGCUGCAGCCAACGCAUUAAGCACUCCGCCUGGGGAGUACGGCCGCAAAGGCUGA
rnacentral:rRNA from 1 species